AUAAAACAAAAGGAUAUUUCCAUUAGAUAAAACCUAUGUAAAGGCAUGCUAAUAUGCUCAAAGCAGAAUUGAAUAUGAAUUGAAAAUUAAGUGAAUUUUUAAGUUUUCUUUCCUUUGACUUCUCUUUUCUCUCUUCUUUUGUUAGCUUUCUUCAUUUUAUUGUCUCCAGCUGCAUUCCAUCAAUUACAGGCUAACAAUCAUGAAAGGAAGAGGCAAAGAAGUUAAUCAUGUUGCCCAAUGUUUGUACUGCUUUGGGGUAUUUGAUUGAAAGGAAAUUCCAAGUGUUUUACCAUUCUGUAGUAGUCUAGACAGGUACAGCAAUUAAUUCUGUUUUUUUCUUCAACUCACUGUGGUUAUCUGCUUCUAGGUCAUUUAAAAGAUUUAUCUUCAGUCAAUAUUUAGCAUAAUUUGGGAGUUUUACUUUGCUAAGUUUCAUUUUUAUUGAAGUUUUGGUUUCUUUAUAAGGAGGAUACCUUAAUCUCCCACUUUCAAUUGCUCGUUUCUAAUUAAUUCUUCUUCUAUUGAAUCAGGCAACAAAUCUACUAAGGGGAAAGGACUAUAUUAUCAAGCAAGUUAGGAAAGAAGUUUUCAACUCAGCUACCAGCCUACCACAUUGCCAAUGUAACAUCAUAUGAUACAUGCCAGUUAACCCUUUGUUAGCUAUUUGAAUAGAUGUUGGCUGCCAGCUUUGACUAAGCACUAUAUCCAGGAAAGCAUAUACCAGCUAGAAAUGCAAUGAAAAUGUAUUCUCACAUUUAGGAACCAUAACAAAAG
rnacentral:misc_RNA from 1 species